rnacentral:rRNA from 1 species
CAGCAGUCGCCGCGGUAAUACGUAGGGUGCAAGCGUUAAUCGGAAUUACUGGGCGUAAAGCGUGCGCAGGCGGUUAUAUAAGACAGAUGUGAAAUCCCCGGGCUCAACCUGGGAACUGCAUUUGUGACUGUAUAGCUAGAGUACGGCAGAGGGGGAUGGAAUUCCGCGUGUAGCAGUGAAAUGCGUAGAUAUGCGGAGGAACACCGAUGGCGAAGGCAAUCCCCUGGGCCUGUACUGACGCUCAUGCACGAAAGCGUGGGGAGCAAACAGGAUUAGAUACCCCAGUAGUCCCUGUCUCUUAUAC